rnacentral:lncRNA from 1 species
AACUGGACCUCUCCUGGGACAGCAUGUGCUCUGCAUGGAAUAACAAGGUUAAAUGGACAAGGCUGAAUGGCCCUGUGAUGGGGAGUGCCUUUAAGCCACAUGACGGAAAUGAAACAGGAGCCAUAAUGACCAUGACUGGAGGAGAAUCAGAUUCUGGCCUGGCCUGGUUCUGUGAGAUACCUUAAAUCAUACUUUCUGUAGCAUCCCUUAAAGGUGGGUAGAGAGAAGGAGAGAGUUAAGUGUGGGUGCAGUCAUCCUCAGGAUGGUUGAUCUCUAAAUCUAUUCUUGGGCAAAAGUUUAGAGAAAAGCUGAAUCACUCAGCCCAGAGGAAGCCUGAGGAGGCAUAAAGAAGUCUUGGAAAUCCCCUGAAAAAAAGAAUCAGAUAUCACCUCCAUAGGAAGCUGUCUCUCUGCUUUAGAGCAAGAAUCAACAAACUUUUUCUGUAAAGAGCCAGAUAUCUGAGUCUUCUCAGAAGCAGAUGUCAAGACAAGAUUAUACACUCAAGAUAUAUUGGGUAACAUCUGUGAAACAUAAUGGAGAAGAAACAGGAGAAAGCAGGGAGAACUUUUGCACCAUGAUGCAGGACUGGCACCUCAGAAGGAGAGUGGGAAGGAAAGAGGAUUGAGUAGGAAAAGCCUUAAAUUUCAGCACCAUUCUAAGAAAGCUUCAGCAAGACUAUUGGGUAAUCCUUGAGCCAGUGACCAGUUGAGAGUUCUACACGUCACAGUAAUGAACUUGCAUUAGUGCCUCCAUGGUGCUUUUAAUCAUCGGCUGGCUGCCACCUGGGAAACUUGGCCUUUGUGGAUCCAGAGGGUCACCAAUUGGUAUCAUGACUCAUUUAUGCUCCCCACAGAUGAGAUCUGACCAUUUCAUGGCCUCCAACCCUUGGUCAAGAAAGCACAAAGAACUCCAGGCAUUCUCACCUUUGUUGGAAUUUUAUCGAGAGGACUUCUUGAAGUCAGGAAGGGUCAAUGCACCAUGUUCUAUACCAUUCAGAGGACUAUGCACAGAGAU